rnacentral:rRNA from 1 species
AGAGUUUGAUCAUGGCUCAGAAUCAACGCUGGCGGCGUGCCUAACACAUGCAAGUCGAACGCGGUUGCCAUUGCUUCGCAAGAAGCAGCGGCGACUGAGUGGCGAACGGGUGAGUAACACGUGGGUGACCUGCCUUCGAGUGGGGGAUAACAUUCCGAAAGGAGUGCUAAUACCGCAUGACAUCCUGCCUUUGAACAGGCGGUGAUUAAAGCCGGGGAUCGUAAGACCUGGCGCUUGAAGAGGGGCCCGCGUCCGAUUAGCUAGUUGGUGGGGUAACGGCCUACCAAGGCGACGAUCGGUAGCCGGCCUGAGAGGGCGGACGGCCACACUGGGACUGAGACACGGCCCAGACUCCUACGGGAGGCAGCAGUGGGGAAUUGUUCGCAAUGGGCGCAAGCCUGACGACGCAACGCCGCGUGGAGGAUGAAGAUUUUCGGAUCGUAAACUCCUUUCGAUCGGGACGAAUGGCUGGAGACCUAACACGUCUUCAGAGUGACGGUACCGAGAGAAGAAGCCCCGGCUAACUCCGUGCCAGCAGCCGCGGUAAUACGGGGGGGGCAAGCGUUGUUCGGAAUUACUGGGCGUAAAGGGCGCGUAGGCGGCCUGCUAAGUCACACGUGAAAUCCCUCGGCUCAACCGGGGAACUGCGUGUGAUACUGGCGGGCUCGAAUUCGGGAGAGGGAUGUGGAAUUCCAGGUGUAGCGGUGAAAUGCGUAUAUAUCUGGAGGAACACCGGUGGCGAAUGCGGCAUCCUGGACCGAGAUUGACGCUGAGGCGCGAAAGCUAGGGUAGCAAACGGG